UUGCUAAUCUCAAACCUCUGUUUCACUUUCUUUACAAAGCCAGUAAUUGCAGAGAGGAUCUGGAGGAGCUGGAGCCACUUGAGAUGAGUGACUUGGGGGAGGAGCAGAGACCUCCAGAAGUCCCAUCCUGCCUCAGUUGUGCUGCUGCUCUGGUGCUGGUUUGAAAAGAAGAGGAGUUAAACCUUGCUAGUUCUGCAGAGGCAAGAAAGCUGUGGGAGAUGCACUCUGCCUCACCAGAGAGUUGUGUCCCAGACUGAGGGCUCCUGAUUUUAAUCGUGUGCUGAGGACUAGGGAUGCAGUCUUGAAGCAAAUCCAGCUGAGGUGUGGAGCAUCCUACCACUGUGAGCAGGACCAGCACUGUGCUGUCACCAGCAGGAGUUGUGGGACAUUGCUGGGAGCUGAGUCUUGAGCUCAGGAACUUUUGGGUUGGAUUCUGGCCUGCUGUGACUCUCCCUGUGCUGAGGAUGACACAGGGCCAGAGUGAAGGCAGGGUCAGGGCAGAGCUGCUCUUGCUGGCUGGCAGAGCAGGGCUUGCAGGGCAGCAGAGCUUUAGCAGGGACUGGGGAAUUGUCUCUCCUUGGCUGCGAGUUUGAAUCCAUCUCAGGACAGCCAUGUCUGAAAGAUUCUCCUCCAACAGUUUCACUUGCCACAUGUCUGUAGUUCUGCUCCCUCCCACUAGUGCAGUGAGCUCCUCAGCACCUUGUCUGGUGGACACAGGGCUUUCUGUAGGAAAGGUGCAUCCACAGGGGAAUGGAGAUCCACGUGUGGGAGAAAGGCCACGGCAGCUGCCCAGGCAGAUCAGACCCAUUGUGUUCUUAACUCAGAACCAUACCAGGGGCAGAGAGCUUUCCUGUCUCUGGCUUUCCUGUGCCUGAGUUGAGCCCACUGUAACCGCGUGGGCUUCACAUGGCCAACUGAGUGUUGCCUUUAUCACACCAUGGCUGUUUGAAUCCCAAGCCUGCUGGGGACCUGUCAAGCCAGGCAAGAUUGGCCCCACAGCCCUGCAGAUGGGACCAGUUGGUAUGAAACCUGUGGCCUCUGGAUCAGUACUGACUCUCAUUAAAACAAGCUAUUUCCAAGACCAUUUGUGCUGGGCAGGAGCAGAUGUAGAAAUUUUCUAACCUCCUCUCAAAUUACUUGGUUGAGAAGAAAAGACCCUCAGAGCAUCACAGGUCUAACAUUUGAUUUCCCCAUCAAGCCUGCUCAGCAUCUUGCAGGAUUUGCCCUCCUGCAUCCUGCCUUUUAAUUGCUGACUGAUUGUAAUAUAGGAUUUUAUUUUCCCUAUAAUGACUCUUGGGGCCCCCAGAUGUUCUCCUCAAGUGUGGUUGCGUCAGCACUAGAGAUUGAAUGACUGAUACCAGCAAUUUUUACAGCUUGAAAGAAGAGAAAUAUGUGAAGGGGAUUUAAUUUAGCUCCAAUAUUGUGUCUUCAUCUUCAAGACUCUACAAGAAAAUGACACCAAAAGGUUAUUUUACAAUGAGAGGAGGGAGAAUUAGCCCGAGAGAGGGAGAGAUCACCAGGCUGGCUUUCUAAUAUCAGUUCAUUACAGAGAACACAUUUGUGCAGCCACUUCACUGCUGCUGUUAAUUUAAACUGGGAUGAUUAAAAGCUGUAAUUGCACCAUUUUGAAUAAAUGUCCACUAUCUGGAUUAUUAUAU